rnacentral:rRNA from 1 species
CCUACGGGGGGCAGCAGUGGGGAAUAUUGCACAAUGGGCGCAAGCCUGAUGCAGCCAUGCCGCGUGUGUGAAGAAGGCCUUCGGGUUGUAAAGCACUUUCAGCGGGGAGGAAGGCGGUGAGGUUAAUAACCUCAUCGAUUGACGUUACCCGCAGAAGAAGCACCGGCUAACUCCGUGCCAGCAGCCGCGUAAUACGGAGGGUGCAAGCGUUAAUCGGAAUUACUGGGCGUAAAGCGCACGCAGGCGGUCUGUCCAGUCGGAUGUGAAGUCCCCGGGCUCAACCUGGGAACUGCAUUCGAAACUGGCAGGCUAGAGUCUUGUAGAGGGGGGUAGAAUUCCAGGUGUAGCGGUGAAAUGCGUAGAGAUCUGGAGGAAUACCGGUGGCGAAGGCGGCCCCCUGGACAAAGACUGACGCUCAGGUGCGAAAGCGUGGGGAGCAAACAGGAUUAGAUACCCGUGUAGUC